CUAGAAUGCCUACCUUUUUGGUAAUUUGGAUCUCGAUUGACCUAUUAAAAGCAUAUAUGGGGAUAAUAGAUUGAUUUGUAACCCUCUUUCUAGUUUAUUCUCCAUGAUCUUUAAUACCCUUCAUAUAAUGAGAUCAAACAAGCCGAUGAUGAAAUUAUAUAUUGUUUUAAAUCAUCAAUUGAAUGCCAAAUGCAAUGUACUGCACAAGCUUCCACGG
rnacentral:lncRNA from 1 species